GGGAGUGUAGCUCAGUGAUAGAGCACUUGCCUAACAUGCAAAAGGUCCUAGGUUCUAUUCCUGGCACUGCAC
rnacentral:tRNA from 1 species